UACGUAGGUGGCAAGCGUUGUCCGGAAUUAUUGGGCGUAAAGCGCGCGCAGGUGGUUCCUUAAGUCUGAUGUGAAAGCCCACGGCUCAACCGUGGAGGGUCAUUGGAAACUGGGGAACUUGAGUGCAGAAGAGGAAAGUGGAAUUCCAAGUGUAGCGGUGAAAUGCGUAGAGAUUUGGAGGAACACCAGUGGCGAAGGCGAACUUUCUGGUCUGUAACUGACACUGAGGCGCGAAAGCGUGGGGAGCAAACAGG
rnacentral:rRNA from 1 species